UACGUAGGGUGCAAGCGUUGUCCGGAAUUAUUGGGCGUAAAGAGCUCGUAGGCGGUUUGUUGCGUCGGCUGUGAAAUCCCGAGGCUCAACCUCGGGUCUGCAGUCGAUACGAGCAAACUAGAGUGUUGCAGGGGAAACUGGAAUUCCUGGUGUAGCGGUGAAAUGCGCAGAUAUCAGGAGGAACACCGGUGGCGAAGGCGGGUCUCUGGGCAACAACUGACGCUGAGGAGCGAAAGCGUGGGGAGCGAACAGG
rnacentral:rRNA from 1 species